rnacentral:lncRNA from 1 species
ACUCUCCCUGCCGUCGCCGCCCGGGACCGGGUGACAUUGAGGUUUUCGUCUAUCGCCGCUGGGCCGAUAGGGCUUCUUUUUAAGAUUUGGCUUUCCAAGUAAGAUUUUUGUUUGCCUGCUUUUCUCCUGGAAUUUUUUUGUUUUUGGUCGAAGAAGCAGGUAACUUGCAUAUCUUAAGGAAAACAUUGUUUUUGCUUUGCUUUUGUUGUUUAAAGAUCCUAAAACGUACCGUGAUUCCUUUACGUUACUAAUAAUUGGAAAGUGUGUUAAAUCAAGGGUUCGCUUAAUGUUCUUUAGCCUUUGUACAUAGAAUAUAUAAAUGUCGUGAGUCAUCUUUACGAGGUUUAUGAGUUUGUGUUCGGGUUUGGCUUUUUUGUUGUGUGUGCGUGGUUUUUUUUUUUCUUUUCUUGUAACACCGUUAGGCGUUUCAUUAAGGUGUAUAAAAAGUAAUUUUAUACACCUAUUAAAAAUUCCCGCUGC